UCGUAAAAACGAUAGAUGAUAAAAAAUUGUGGAAACAAUUAUUGAAAAAUAUACACGAGUAAAUAUUUUCUGUAUUUAAUAAGUUAUCAAUAUCGUUCGUCACAAUAGGUCUUUGUUAUCUGUCGUACAGUACAAUGGUCAAGUUAUACGUAUUUAGUUAUAUUUUAAAUUUAUUAUCAACGUCUCAAAUUACGCAUUUCUUUCAAGGUCUUAAUUCGAAACAUAGCUAAAGGAUUAAUCCACGUUUCUCAAUCGUAUGAAUAAAAGGAAUCAUCGAUCGAAAAAUCAAAAUUGAAGCUAUGAUUUUUUCAUGGAAGUAUGACGCAUUCAAGAAUCACUUUUAGAUUAAUGAUUAUGAUGAUUAAGAAUGUACGAGUUCGUAGAAAUCGUACGUAAGACUUACGAUACGCCUUAACAAAAAUUAAAAAUAUCAACGAAAUAAAGAAAAUUCAUUCUAUCUA